rnacentral:tRNA from 1 species
GGGCCUGUAGCGCAGUCAGGUAGCGCGUCGGGCUUUUAACCCGCAGGUCGGGGGUUCGAUUCCCCCCAGGCCCG